AUGUAAAUGAUAAAUAUUGUGUGACCGUAAGACCAAUUCUAGACCAAUAACCAUUUAGGGGCAAUUUAGUCAUUUUGUACAAUAUCAUUAUAAUUUCAAUUUAUCAAUUAAUUAAAUAAACCUAAUUAAAAUCCUAUAAUUAAGGAAUUUAACCUAUAAUCACCACCUUCCGGUAUUAUCUUUGUCGCAACCAUCCUCAUCUUUAUCAGUCGUUUUCAUCUUCAUCGACUAUAAUCACUGCAGCUGUCACCGUCAUCAUCGCAUCCAUCACAAUCCAUGCCGCCACCAUCUUUCUAAUAUCCUUAUAACUUAAUCCUCAUUUGUCCAUAUGUAUCCUUCAACCAUCCUGCAACGCAUCAGAUAAAUCACAAGAACAAAAACUAGGGCUUAUCACGACUACAGUAGCCAUCAUUAAAUUAAUAAACAGAAGCAUCACAAAGGUAAAAAAAAGGUUAAAAAACUACUCUUUGCAGCCUAAGCUUGAUGAUAAGGCAUCAUUCUUGAAGCAUUUCAUAAACUUUCAUGUAUUUGUCACUCUUAAAUCUGUCACCAUAAAGGUAAAAAAAAGGCGGGGAAACUACCAUCGGUUUCUUGUUUUCUUUUUGGCUGUAACUUUGAUGAUUACAACAUUUUUUUAGCAAUUUUAUGAAUCGAUUUUUUUUUUUUAUAAAAACUCUAUAUUUAGAUAUUGAAACUUCUAUUAUUUGGCCUAAAGACAAGACCUUGGUGUAAAGUCAAAUUGCCCACCAUGUGUAUGAUAAAAGGUCCAAGAGAAUCUUUUCAUUGCCUAACAUUUGUCUGAUAAUAAUUUCAUUAAAGCAUAAUUUCCCAGCAUAUUCUUGAUAAAAGUACUUGAAAUAAGUUCAUGGAGUACUAGGUGUUUAAUAAUUUAUCACCAAUCUUUAGCUUUUAUUUGCUAUAUAUUUUGGAUCAAAAUGAUGACAAAUCUUUUGGUUUUCAAACGAGGUGGAAAAGUGAAGUUGAAUUCUAUCUUAAUAUCUUUUUUGAAGUUGAUCAUGAAGAGCAAGUAGAUGCAUUAUAUGAAAAAAGGAAAUAUGAAUGCGAUAAUAUAUGGAUUUGUUUCACAUGUUGUAAAAGAAUAAAAAAAGAGAAGAAGAAGAAGAAGAAGAAGAAGAAGAAGAAGAAGAAGUGGGUUCAAUUUCUUUUUGGACUUCCAUCUGAACACAAAUGCCAUGACAAUUAAAUUCCUAAAAUUUAUUUUGCAGUUGUUUGAAUUUGAACUAGAGGACUUGCAAUUCGAUAAUCAAAAGGAAGGGAUGCAAUGUUAUUGAUAUUCUUCAAGAAUGUAUACUGCAAUAUUCUUUAAGAAUGCAUACUAUAAUAUUUUUUAAGAAUACAUAUUGCAAUAUUGUUUAAGAAUGCAUAUUCUUUUUAGCAUG